AUACGGAGGAUCCAAGCGUUAUCCGGAUUUAUUGGGUUUAAAGGGAGCGUAGGCGGAUUAUUAAGUCAGUUGUGAAAGUUUGCGGCUCAACCGUAAAAUUGCAGUUGAUACUGGUAGUCUUGAGUGCAGCAGAGGUAGGCGGAAUUCGUGGGGUAGCGGUGAAAUGCUUAGAUAUCACGAAGAACUUCGAUUGCGAAGGCAGCUUACUGGACUGUAACUGACGCUGAUGCUCGAAAGUGUGGGUAUCAAACAGGAUUAGAUACCCUGGUAGUCCACACUGUAAACGAUGAAUACUCGCUGUUUGCGAUAUACAGUAAGCGGCCAAGCGAAAGCAUUAAGUAUUCCACCUGGGGAGUACGCCGGCAACGGUGAAACUCAAAUGAAUUGGCGGGG
rnacentral:rRNA from 1 species